rnacentral:rRNA from 1 species
UACGGGGGGGGCAAGCGUUGUUCGGAAUUACUGGGCGUAAAGGGCUCGUAGGUGGCCAACUAAGUCGGACGUGAAAUCCCUCAGCUUAACUGGGGAACUGCGUCCGAUACUGGAUGGCUUGAGUUUGGGAGAGGGAUGCGGAAUUCCAGGUGUAGCGGUGAAAUGCGUAGAUAUCUGGAGGAACACCGGUGGCGAAGGCGGCAUCCUGGACCAAUUCUGACGCUGAGGAGCGAAAGCCAGGGGAGCAAACGGG